CUGGAGUAAGGAAAAUCAUCAGGAGUUGGAUCUUCAGUAAAUGAGGGAAACAAGAUUAAUCUAGCGGGGUCUGAAGAGAGAUAUGGUUUAAGUAUAGUCUAGUGAAGGACGAAUAGGUAAAGGAGGAAUUUGCGCCAUUACUCCGAAGAAAAGGGAGAUGAGAAUGAAAGGCGAAAGAUAGAAGACGACAGAAGAAAGAAAGAGACGAGAAAGAGAUUUCAUCGGAGAAGACGAGGAAGAAAUAAAAGAGACAGAGAAGACAAAAAGGAUGAGAAGCUUAGGGAAGAAGAAAAGGCCGUCGCGUCGAUCCGUCGCGUCUAAACGAGUUCCGAGGUUGGCUAUAAUGAUGAAUAGACGGCGGUAAUUAAGAUGACCUAAUUAAUGCCACAGAUAAGACAAAAGUAGAAAACGAGAUCGGGGCCGUAAAAA
rnacentral:lncRNA from 1 species